CAUAGCUUCUAAUAUAAAGCAGAGCUUAGCUGCCAAAGUUAUCCACUGUCACUCAGACAUCACUUACCUACUGUCUAAAACAUUCUCGCUGAAUGUUUCAGAGCUUCUGCAGGAAGAUGAACCUUUGUUAUUUUAUUUUAAUUGUGCUGAUUUCAUAUACUAAUGGACAGUCACUGACCUCCUCUGAGUCAGUAGUGGAGGAACCUGGGAGGUCAGUCACUCUCUCCUGUUCUGUGUCUGGUUUCUCCAUGAGCGACCACUGGAUGCACUGGAUCCGUCAGAAACCCGGGAAAGGACUGGAGUGGAUUGGAUAUGUUAAUUAUGGCACAGGCACUGGCUUUGCCCAGUCUCUGCAGGGUCAGUUCUCCAUCACUAAAGACACCAGUAAAAACAUGCUGAUGCUGCAGGUGAAGAGCCUGAAAGCUGAAGACACGGCUGUUUAUUACUGUGCACGAGACUCACACUGACACAAUACGCUACAGACCCGUAUAAAAACAUGCUCAACCACAGAGUGUGUGGCUAAAUAUGUCUGAUGUAUAAAUAUUUCCUCAGUGGGAAGUGAAACUGAAGGGACAUGUGUUUUCAUUAGUUGAGCAUUACACACUGUUUUGUUUAAUUUUGAAACAAAUGUCACACUGCACAUUUCUCAGACAAUUUCUAUUGAUUUUACCUACGUCUGA